UUUUUUUUUUUUUUUUUGCCUCUCAAUUAUAGUUACACAUCAUCGUUCCUAUGCUCCCUGCAUCAGUGAGAGCUGAAGGUGCUUGGCAUUUUUGUAUCUACUUUAUGUUUAUGUUUUAUUCUCACUAACUACAUUUCCAACUACAGAUGAAAAAGGGAGGCAUAAAGCGAUGAAUGUGCCACAAUCUCCAGCAUUCUAAGAAAAAAAGCUAAUGAUUUUCUAGAAGAUUGUGGUUUAUUCCAACCACAGUCCAAAUCAAGCUUUACAAAUUGCCAGUUAUGACUAGGCGAGCCUGGCUUCUGAUCAUGUUGUUUCUCACGUGUCUUUGCCAGUAGAAAGUCUGCUGUGAGUAUUAUGGGAUGGAGGACCUUGACUGUUUCUUUUUUUUCUUUUAUUUUAUUUGUGCUGAUGCAAUCACUUGUAUAUUCCAAUAAAUUACUAAUUUUGAGUGAAUCAUCAUUAUUAACAGUAACAGAAAUUGGUUUUAUUCCCACAUUUCUGUUCAGGUCCACCUCCACCAAACCCAGCCCUCAUGAUGGCAUUUUUCUUUGAAGCUCGUUUACAGACCUAGGUGGACUAGAACAACCAGCCCUCCUGUUUGCACUCAGGAGGUGGCCUUUCCAAGUGUUUUAUCUCAUCAUUUCUAUCAUUUGCUCUACCUUCUAGAGAAGAAGACUUAAUUCAGCCUAUAAGUUCAACAGGAUCCCUGAGGGAGGGGGAAGGCAAGGAGGGAGGGAGAGAGGGAAGGAUGAAGAGAGGGAAGAAAAAUCUCACGUCUUUUUGGGGGUAAAUCCCACACAUUUUAGUGAACUUUUCCACAGUUAUAAAUCCAAAGAGUUCCUCAAACACCUCUCCAAGCUGUGCUGCUCACUCUGCCCCAGCAUUCCAGAAGAGACCUCUGUACCAACCCUGCACAACUGAAAUGAUACUGAGAUAAAUCUGUACCGUUCUCUGGAUACCAGAUCUGCACUUAUUUUUCUUUUGCAUGGGAGAUCCUGACUCAUGCCUGUGGCUGGGUUUGGGCAUGUGUGGUGUGUGCUCAUCUAGUAUUGCUUGUGGCCAGUUAGAAAAAUCAUAUAAUCCACCGCAGGUUUAAAACAUAAUUUAAACCUGCCAAGUCUCAUAACUUCCAAGAAGGCAAAUUUACCAUAAAGAGAAUGGUUUCCACUUACUAGAUUUUAUAUUCAGAUUUCUGGCACACAGGCUUCCCACCAAAAAAGUCUUUUAUGCAAGCACAUAAUCAAUGGAAGCCUUCAUUUCACUGUGGUUAGAUUUAAUGUGAUAAUGAAUAUUCUAGUGUCAGCUCUGGCUAAAUGGAUGGGGUUUCACCUCAGAUUCCCUCCUUUAAAUAUCUCACACAGGCACAUGCUUUCUGAGUGGUAAAUAAUUUAGCAGCACCAGCAGAAGGACACCUGAGAUAUGUUCAAAAUGCAGGCGUAUCUGCCUCGCUCAUGUACUGCCCCAUGUUCCUGCUCUUGUUAACAG
rnacentral:lncRNA from 1 species